AUUGAACGCUGGCGGCAUGCCUUACACAUGCAAGUCGAACGGCAGCACGGGAGCAAUCCUGGUGGCGAGUGGCGAACGGGUGAGUAGUACAUCGGAACGUGCCUAGUAGUGGGGGAUAGCCCGGCGAAAGCCGGAUUAAUACCGCAUACGACCUGAGGGUGAAAGCGGGGGAUCGCAAGACCUCGCGCUACCAGAGCGGCCGAUGCCAGAUUAGGUAGUUGGUGGGGUAAAAGCCUACCAAGCCGACGAUCUGGAGCUGGUCUGAGAGGACGACCAGCCACACUGGGACUGAGACACGGCCCAGACUCCUACGGGAGGCAGCGGUGGGGAAUUUUGGACAAUGGGCGCAAGCCUGAUCCAGCCAUGCCGCGUGCAGGAAGAAGGCCUUCGGGUUGUAAACUGCUUUUGUCAGGGAAGAAAAGUUCUGGGCUAAUACCCCGGAGCGAUGACGGUACCUGAAGAAUAAGCACCGGCUAACUACGUGCCAGCCGCCGCCGUAA
rnacentral:rRNA from 1 species